rnacentral:lncRNA from 1 species
AUUCCAGGCAAUUCAGGGCCAAUCUUGGCGAAUUAUAUGCAAAUUUAAUGACAGAAAGAAAAGAAGAAACAUCAAUUGAAGGCAACUGCUUAACAAUUACAGCCCCUUUCCCUGCAAUCCCUCCGUCUGAGCUGGCUGGGGAGUCAGGGCUCAGGGCUCACAGCCUGGGAACUUCUGGCCAAAGGAAGCCAGCCAGGGAAAGCCCUGCCCUGGGUUGGGUCUUUGACCCCAUCUCCAAGAGAUUCUGCCGGUGAACGCAGCAUUCACAGCGGCGUGGUGGGGGAAGCUCCCCAUCCAUGGCCACCUUCCAGAGAUGAUCUGAGCUGGAAGAGAGACCCACAGCAGCUUCCCCGAAGCAGAAUAGCCCAUUUGACCUCCGGAAGCAGUCACAUCUGGCCCAAGGAGUCUGAGUUCUCGCCAGGAUGGAGGGAAGAGCCCGAGAAGCUGUUUCCAUAGGAACCUCGAACUCCCCUGAAUUCUGGAACACAUCAGGGAAGUGUUGCUUCCAAGGUGAUAGCUGACGAUGAGUAUUGCUUUCUUACAGUGAGACUAAGAUUAGCAGUAAGGGGAAUGAUUUUUUCUUAAAGGGGGAAUGGUAGUGCCUUUGGGAUUUAGAGAUGGGGGCAACUCUUCUUUUACCUGAGCCUCAAGAGCUGCCUGGAGUACAAACAAAGAGAUUAAGUCCUUCACCUAAGGUCCCACCAAUCAGUCCAUCAAAAGGCCCUACUAAGUGCCAGGCACUAGAGAAACAAAAAGAAAACGAAACAAUCCUUCCUCUCUUUUGUAAAAGACAGGACUUGGAUUUAGGUCUUCUGGACACCAAGGCUUCUGGGAGCCCUUUUCUGCGCUGGAUAAGGAGCAUACUACAUGGAGAGAGACUAAUGAAGAUGAUGUAAUCUUGACCAUGAAGAAUAAUUUCUAAUUCCUUUCUGGUGAUCUAAUUGGAGAAGCUCAUUAAUUAAUGUCUCAUGAAAUUGACUGAUUAAAUGCCUCUGUGGAUGCCAUUGGAGCACAAGGGGGCAAUCAGGACAUUUAUACGACGGUCCCCACUUGCUGUAGCUUCAUCAAAGACUGAGUGAUUUAGACAGACUAAGAGCUCUGAAGAUAUAUAGCUCUGAAGGCAAGAUGGCAACCUCAUGAAGACAUCAAGAGUCAGCAAAACACAGGCAAAUACAAUGGAUAUUGUUGAUAACCAUUAGAUCAUAAGCUUCUGGGGAAUAAAUAUUGUUUCAUUCUUUGCA